AGUGAACGCUGGCGGCGUGCCUAAUACAUGCAAGUCGAACGAAGUGGCGCACGGGUGAGUAAUAUAUAGUUAAUCUGCCCUACACAGAGGAACAACAGAUGGAAACGGCUGCUAAUUCCUCAUAGUGUAGGAUGAUAAUAUAUCGUAUCAUCUAGUUGGUAAGGUAAUGGCUUACCAAGGCUAUGACGCGUAACUGGUCUGAGAGGAUGAGCAGUCACAUUGGAACUAAGACACAGUCCAAACUCCUACGGGAGGCAGCAGUGAGGAAUAUUGCACAAUGGGGGUAUGCCUGACGCAGCAACGCCGCGUAGGCGAUGACACUUUUCAGAACGUAAACUCCUUUUAUCAGUAAAGCGUUACCUGAUGAGUAAGCACCGGCUAACUCCGUGCCAGCAGCCGCGGUAAUAC
rnacentral:rRNA from 1 species